rnacentral:rRNA from 1 species
GACAGAGGCCCCAAGCGUUAGGCGGAAUCACUGGGCUUAAAGCGUGUGUAGGCGGACGCCUAAGUGUCUUGUGAAAUCCCACGGCCUGACACCCGUGGAACUGCUGGGCAUACUGGGCGUCUUGGGGCCAACUAGGGGCAGCCGGAACAAGCGGUGGAGCGGUGAAAUGCGUAGAUAAUCGCUUGGGAACGCCAGAAGGUGAAAACGGGCUGCUGGGGUGCGCCGACGCGUGAGAACACGGAAAGCCAGGGGAGCAAACGGG